rnacentral:rRNA from 1 species
AUACGGAGGGGGCUAGCGUUGUCCGGAUUUAUUGGGUUUAAAGGGUGCGUAGGUGGCGUGUUAAGUCAGUGGUGAAAGCCUGCAGCUCAACUGUAGAGGUGCCAUUGAUACUGACAUGCUUGAGUAUAGAUGAGGUAGGCGGAAUUUGUGGUGUAGCGGUGAAAUGCAUAGAUACCACAAAGAACACCGAUAGCGAAGGCAGCUUACUGGACCAUAACUGACACUGAGGCACGAAAGUGUGGGUAGCGAACAGGAUUAGAAACCCUAGUAGUCC